rnacentral:rRNA from 1 species
GAUGAACGCUAGCUACAGGCUUAACACAUGCAAGUCGAGGGGUAGCAGGGUAGCAAUACCGCUGACGACCGGCGCACGGGUGAGUAACACGUAUCCAACCUUCCCAUAACUCGGGGAUAGCCUUUCGAAAGAAAGAUUAAUACCCGAUAGUACUUUUUCAAGGCAUCUUGAGAAAGUUAAAGAUUUAUUGGUUAUGGAUGGGGAUGCGUUCCAUUAGAUAGUUGGUGAGGUAACGGCUCACCAAGUCUUCGAUGGAUAGGGGUUCUGAGAGGAAGGUCCCCCACAUUGGUACUGAGACACGGACCAAACUCCUACGGGAGGCAGCAGUGAGGAAUAUUGGUCAAUGGGCGAGAGCCUGAACCAGCCAAGUAGCGUGAAGGAUGAAGGUCCUAUGGAUUGUAAACUUCUUUUAUAGUAGAAUAAAGUGAUCCACGUGUGGAUUUUUGUAUGUAUACUAUGAAUAAGGAUCGGCUAACUCCGUGCCAGCAGCCGCCGCAG